rnacentral:RNase_P_RNA from 1 species
GGAGAGGGCCAGAUGGCCGCGUGUUGAGCCUUGGGCCCUGGGCCCGCACAUCAGGCCGCAUGAGGAAAGUCCGGACUCCACAGGGCAGGAUGCCAGCUAACGGCUGGGCGGGGCGACCCGACGGAAAGUGCCACAGAAAAGAAAACUCCCCCGCCGUGCGCGGGAGAAAAGCUGAAACGGUGCGGUAAGAGCGCACCAGCGUCUUGGCAACAAGGCGGCUUGGCAAACCCCAUCUGGAGCAAGGGCAAAUAGGAACGCUAUGGGUUGGCCCGACCCGCGUUCGGGUUGCCCGCUUGAGGAUGUUGGCGACAACAUUCCCAGAUAAAUGGCCAUCCCACGACAGAAUCCGGCUUACCGGCCCUCUCCAAGC